UACGUAGGCAGCGAGCGUUGUUCGGAAUUACUGGGCGUAAAGAGUGUGUAGGCGGUGCUCUAAGUUCGGUGUGAAAUCUCCUGGCUCAACUGGGAGGGUGCGCCGGAAACUAGAGUGCUAGAGGGUGGGAGAGGUAAGCGGAAUUCCUGGUGUAGCGGUGAAAUGCGUAGAUAUCAGGAGGAACACCUGUGGUGUAGACAGCUUACUGGACCACUUCUGACGCUGAGACACGAAAGCGUGGGUAGCAAACAGG
rnacentral:rRNA from 1 species